AUUGAACGCUGGCGGCAGGCUUAACACAUGCAAGUCGAGCGGAGCGAGGGUGCUUGCACCUUAGCUUAGCGGCGGACGGGUGAGUAAUGCUUAGGAAUCUGCCCAUUAGUGGGGGACAACAUUCCGAAAGGAAUGCUAAUACCGCAUACGCCCUACGGGGGAAAGCAGGGGAUCUUCGGACCUUGCGCUAAUAGAUGAGCCUAAGUCGGAUUAGCUAGUUGGUGGGGUAAAGGCCUACCAAGGCGACGAUCUGUAGCGGGUCUGAGAGGAUGAUCCGCCACACUGGGACUGAGACACGGCCCAGACUCCUACGGGAGGUAGCAGUGGGGAAUAUUGGACAAUGGGCGGAAGCCUGAUCCAGCCAUGCCGCGUGUGUGAAGAAGGCCUUUUGGUUGUAAAGCACUUUAAGCGAGGAGGAGGCUACUUAGAUUAAUACUCUGGGAUAGUGGACGUUACUCGCAGAAUAAGCACCGGCUAACUCUGUGCCAGCCGCCGCAGUAAAAC
rnacentral:rRNA from 1 species